UACGUAGGGCGCAAGCGUUAUCCGGAAUUAUUGGGCGUAAAGAGCUCGUAGGCGGUUUGUCGCGUCUGCCGUGAAAGUCCGGGGCUCAACCCUGGAUCUGCGGUGGUACGGCAGACUUGAGUGCAGUAGGGGAGACGUGGAAUUCCUGGUGUAGCGGUGAAAUGCGCAGAUAUCAGGAGGAACACCGAUGGCGAAGGCAGGUCUCCGUGGGCUG
rnacentral:rRNA from 1 species